rnacentral:rRNA from 1 species
AAGUCGUAACAAGGUCUCCGUAGGUGAACCUGCGGAGGGAUCAUUAACGAAUGGUCUCCGUACCUUCAAACCCCUCAAACCAGUGGACAUUUGAAAACGUGCUUCGGCGCUCCUGCGCCGCCUUUAUGCUGUAAAUCUGCCAUUUGUGUCUGAAUGCAAACGAAAAGAAUCAAAACUUUCAACAAAGGAUCUCUAGGCUCUCGCAUCGAUGAAGAACGCAGCGAAGCGCGAAAUGUAAUGUGAAUCGCAGAACAUUGUGAAUCAUCGAAUCUUUGAACGCACAUUGCGCCUCCUGUUAUAGGGAGGCAUGCCUGUCUGAGCGUCAUUUAAACCCAUGCCAUGGCGAACUUCGUCGUCGGCGUGUUGGGCCCUCGUCGACCACUCGUCGACGUGGCCUUGAAUCCAUCGGUCAAGUUGAGCGGACGAGAUCCUCUGGGACAUAGACCGUUCAUGCGACCCUAAAGACUUGAGAUCUUGACCUCAGAUCAGGUAGGGACACCGCCUGAACUUA